AAGUCCUACGGGGGGCAGCAGUAGGGAAUCUUCCACAAUGGGCGAAAGCCUGAUAGAGCAAAGCCGCGUGGGUGAAGAAGGUAUUGGGAUCGUAAAACCCUGUUGUUAGAGGAGAAAGUGCGUGAGAGUAACUGUUCACGUUUCGACGGUAUCUAACCAGAAAGCCACGGCUAACUACGUGCCAGCAGCCGCGGUAAUACGUAGGUGGCAAGCGUUAUCAGGAUUUAUUGGGCGUAAAGGGAAGGCAGGCGGUCUUUUAAGUCUGAUGGGAAAGCUGUCGGCUUAACCGGAGUAGUGCAUUGGAA
rnacentral:rRNA from 1 species